rnacentral:rRNA from 1 species
UGAUCCAGCCAUGCCGCGUGUGUGAAGAAGGCCUUAUGGUUGUAAAGCACUUUAACUUAGGUGGAGGCUACUAGUAUUAAUACUACUGGAUAGUGGACGUUACUCGCAGAAUAAGCACCGGCUAACUCUGUGCCAGCAGCCGCGGUAAUACAGAGGGUGCGAGCGUUAAUCGGAUUUACUGGGCGUAAAGCGUGCGUAGGCGGCCAUUUAAGUCAAAUGUGAAAUCCCCGAGCUUAACUUGGGAAUUGCAUUCGAUACUGGAUGGCUAGAGUAUGGGAGAGGAUGGUAGAAUUCCAGGUGUAGCGGUGAAAUGCGUAGAGAUCUGGAGGAAUACCGAUGGCGAAGGCAGCCAUCUGGCCUAAUACUGACGCUGAGGUACGAAAGCAUGGGGAGCAAACAGGAUUAGAUACCCUGGUAGUCCAUGCCGUAAACGAUGUCUACUAGCCGUUGGGGCCUUUGAGGCUUUAGUGGCGCAGCUAACGCGAUAAGUAGACCGCCUGGGGAGUACG